UACGAAGGGGGCUAGCGUUGUUCGGAUUUACUGGGCGUAAAGCGCACGUAGGCGGAUCGUUAAGUCGGGGGUGAAAUCCUGGAGCUCAACUCCAGAACUGCCUUUGAUACUGAAGAUCUUGAGUUCGGGGAGAGGUGAGUGGAACUGCGAGUGUAGAGGUGAAAUUCGUAGAUAUUCGCAAGAACACCAGUGGCGAAGGCGGCUCACUGGCCCGAUACUGACGCUGAGGCACGAAAGCGUGGGGAGCAAACAGGGA
rnacentral:rRNA from 1 species